rnacentral:rRNA from 1 species
AAUUCAGCCGGGUGACGACGCGCCUGCCCUCGGGNCUCSGCCCAGUYUUCGGUGCGUUUCUUUMCGGKSAYGCGCGCCGGAUCGGACGGAUCCGCCCCGCGCGGCCUGGGAGAAUCACGCCUUUCGGSGGCGUCCCCUAGGUUUGCGACGGACCGGGUCGGGUCUGAUUAAUGCGGCGGUUGCGGCGUCCCGGUGCACUUUCCCCGCGGCCUCCAUUUAAAUACGUACGCCGCCACCGGACGGGUUGCGGAAGGGUCGUCGCGCGGUUUUGCCGGCAGUCGACCGCCCCCCUCACGUCUCUCGGGGCGUGGUGGUUUGGGGAGGUCUAGCCGGUACCGCCCGCCAUCGGCGGGGCCCUCUUACCGCGUCCGUCCGCGUCCACCCCAUCUGUCUGACAUCGGCACGUCUUGGUUACGUGCGCGGCUGGCGUCUCGGGUCUCGUCGGCGGUUUUCUCCUGCUCCGGAACCUUGUGUUCGGGACGGGGCCGUCGGCGGACACGCAUGAGAGACGCGCGGGUCUGCCGUCCUCGAUGUCACGUGUGGGCGGCGAUAGUAGAUCGGCUUCCCUCCCGACCCGUCUUGAAACACGGACCAAGGAGUCUAACCUGUGCGCGAGUCGUGGGGCAAGGUUGCGAAGCCCUUUUCCACGGCGCAGUGAAAGCAAGAGGAACGGUCUCCGUUCCGCAGCCCGCGCGAUCCCGGCCGAACCCGUUAAACGGUGGAGCCGGGCGCASCGCGKACCCGUGCCACUCGCUUCUUGCCGACGGCACGGAGUUGGAGCGUACACGUUGGGACCCGAAAGAUGGUGAUCUAUGCCAGGGCAGGGCGAAGCCAGAGGAAACUCUGGUGGAAGCCCGCCGCGAUUCUGACKUKCAAAUCGAUCGUCGGACCUUGGCAUAGCGGCGAAAGACUAAUCGAACCAUC